CAGUCGCCGCGGGAAUACGUAGGGUGCAAGCGUUAAUCGGAAUUACUGGGCGUAAAGCGUGCGCAGGCGGUUAUAUAAGACAGAUGUGAAAUCCCCGGGCUCAACCUGGGAACUGCAUUUGUGACUGUAUAGCUAGAGUACGGCAGAGGGGGAUGGAAUUCCGCGUGUAGCAGUGAAAUGCGUAGAUAUGCGGAGGAACACCGAUGGCGAAGGCAAUCCCCUGGGCCUGCACUGACGCUCAUGCACGAAAGCGUGGGGAGCAAACAGGAUUAGAUACCCCAGUAGUCCCUGUCUCUUAUAC
rnacentral:rRNA from 1 species